rnacentral:rRNA from 1 species
AUGAACGCUAGCUACAGGCUUAACACAUGCAAGUCGAGGGGCAGCAUGGUCUUAGCUUGCUAAGGCCGAUGGCGACCGGCGCACGGGUGAGUAACACGUAUCCAACCUGCCGUCUACUCUUGGACAGCCUUCUGAAAGGAAGAUUAAUACAAGAUGGCAUCAUGAGUCCGCAUGUUCACAUGAUUAAAGGUAUUCCGGUAGACGAUGGGGAUGCGUUCCAUUAGAUAGUAGGCGGGGUAACGGCCCACCUAGUCUUCGAUGGGUAGGGGUUCUGAGAGGAAGGUCCCCCACAUUGGAACUGAGACACGGUCCAAACUCCUACGGGAGGCAGCAGUGAGGAAUAUUGGUCAAUGGGCGAGAGCCUGAACCAGCCAAGUAGCGUGAAGGAUGACUGCCCUAUGGGUUGUAAACUUCUUUUAUAAAGGAAUAAAGUCGGGUAUGGAUACCCGUUUGCAUGUACUUUAUGAAUAAGGAUCGGCUAACUCCGUGCCAGCAGCCGCGGUAAUACGGAGGAUCCGAGCGUUAUCCGGAUUUAUUGGGUUUAAAGGGAGCGUAGAUGGAUGUUUAAGUCAGUUGUGAAAGUUUGCGGCUCAACCGUAAAAUUGCAGUUGAUACUGGAUAUCUUGAGUGCAGUUGAGGCAGGCGGAAUUCGUGGUGUAGCGGUGAAAUGCUUAGAUAUCACGAAGAACUCCGAUUGCGAAGGCAGCCUGCUAAGCUGCAACUGACAUUGAGGCUCGAAAGUGUGGGUAUCAAACAGGAUUAGAUACCCUGGUAGUCCACACGGUAAACGAUGAAUACUCGCUGUUUGCGAUAUACUGCAAGCGGCCAAGCGAAAGCGUUAAGUAUUCCACCUGGGGAAUACGCCGGCAACGGUGAAACUCAAAGGAAUUGACGGGGGCCCGCACAAGCGGAGGAACAUGUGGUUUAAUUCGAUGAUACGCGAGGAACCUUACCCGGGCUUAAAUUGCAGAUGAAUUACGGUGAAAGCCGUAAGCCGCAAGGCAUCUGUGAAGGUGCUGCAUGGUUGUCGUCAGCUCGUGCCGUGAGGUGUCGGCUUAAGUGCCAUAACGAGCGCAACCCUUGUUGUCAGUUACUAACAGGUUCCGCUGAGGACUCUGACAAGACUGCCAUCGUAAGAUGUGAGGAAGGUGGGGAUGACGUCAAAUCAGCACGGCCCUUACGUCCGGGGCUACACACGUGUUACAAUGGGGGGUACAGAGGGCCGCUACCACGCGAGUGGAUGCCAAUCCCCAAAACCUCUCUCAGUUCGGACUGGAGUCUGCAACCCGACUCCACGAAGCUGGAUUCGCUAGUAAUCGCGCAUCAGCCACGGCGCGGUGAAUACGUUCCCGGGCCUUGUACACACCGCCCGUCAAGCCAUGGGAGCCGGGGGUACCUGAAGUGCGUAACCGCGAGGAGCGCCCUAGGGUAAAACUGGUGACUGGGGCU